rnacentral:rRNA from 1 species
CAAUAGCGUAUAUUAAAGUUGUUGCAGUUAAAAAGCUCGUAGUUGGAUUUGUGGCAGUUGCGUGCGGCUCGGCACAUUGUGCUGUUGUUUGCGUGCGACGCCAUCCUUGGGUGGAUCCUGUGUGGCAUUAGGUUGUCGUGCAGGGGAUGCCCAUCAUUUACUGUGAGAAAAUUAGAGUGUUCAAAGCAGGCUUAUGCCGUUGAAUAUAUUAGCAUGGAAUAAUAAGAUAGGACCUUGGUACUAUUUUGUUGGUUUGCGCACCAAGGUAAUGAUUAAUAGGGACAGUUGGGGGUAUUCGUAUUCCAUUGUCAGAGGUGAAAUUCUUGGAUUUUUGGAAGACGAACUACUGCGAAAGCAUUUACCAAGGAUGUUUUCAUUAA